UACGGAGGGGACUAGCGUUGUUCGGAAUCACUGGGCGUAAAGCGCACGUAGGCGGUUUCUCAAGUCAGUGGUGAAAGCCCGGAGCUCAACUCCGGAACUGCCAUUGAAACUGUGAAACUUGAGGACGAGAGAGGUGAGUGGAAUUCCCAGUGUAGAGGUGAAAUUCGUAGAUAUUGGGAAGAACACCGGUGGCGAAGGCGGCUCACUGGCUCGUUUCUGACGCUCAGGCGCGACAGCGUGGGGAUCAAACAGG
rnacentral:rRNA from 1 species